ACAGAUAUAUUCAUUAGGCCUCAGAAAAAUCACAUUAACAUGCUAAUACAUCAUAUUAAGGCAGAUCAAUAAUAUCCCCACAAUCAAUAAACCUACAUCUGUUAUAACUAAUAUUAUGUGUGUGUGUUCAACGACCAUGAAACCAUUGAAAAGCAAAAUAUGAAAGAUAAUAGAUUUCUUAGAAGACAUCAUACAGUGCAAUUCAAAAACUCCUCAAAUAAACUACCUUUUACUAAAAUCAAACACUUACCAAAGUCCAAGGGUCAAAAUGGAAUACUUAUGCUUCUUUUUUUUUCUUUUUUUUAAUGGGGGCUUUUUGCACUUUUCCCGUUUUACUUAUAUUUUUUUCUUUCUCAUGACUAUGCAUUGUCCUAUUCCCUUAGGCUUUUCAGUGUUACCUUAAUGAGCUUUCGACCAACGACUCCCAAGCCAUUAAGACCUUAGGGCGCUAGGUGUAGAGACAAUCCCCUCGGGCUUACUUACUCAAGUAACAAAGGCCACAAAACUAGACAAGCAUGCCACGAUUUUUUUUUUUAUUUUUUUUUCUUCUUCAAAGCUUAUAUACUCCAAAUAUUUUUCCCCCAAACUUGAGUUUAUGUCUAAAUUCAGUCAUCACUAGCUAUUCAAAUUAUUCCUUCAUUUCACUAGCAUUCAUCUUUUAGAAUUCUGUUAUCUAUCCAUUUAAACUUUCUUAGCCAACAUGGUCAUUUUUCAAAACGUGCAAUCCUGAUAAUAUCAGUGUCAAACAGAUAAAGAUUUACAUUAUGUCAAGAAAAUCACAUUACUAGCUUAACAAUCCAUAUUAGACUUUAUAAUGCAAUUUUAAUUUCAUCAUUGGCCCCCAAACAUACGUAACUAAUGAACAGCUGGAAUUAACAUGCAAUCCUAGAUGCAACACUUAACCAACAAUAAAAACACAAAUUAUCCAUAAAC
rnacentral:lncRNA from 1 species